rnacentral:rRNA from 1 species
GAUGAACGCUGGCGGCGUGCCUAAUACAUGCAAGUCGAGCGAAAAGACGAGGAGCUUGCGCCUCUGACGUUAGCGGCGGACGGGUGAGUAACACGUGGAUAACCUACCUAUAAGACUGGGAUAACUUCGGGAAACCGGAGCUAAUACCGGAUAAUAUAUUGAACCGCAUGGUUCAAUAGUGAGAGACGGUUUUGCUGGAACUUAUAGAUGGAUCCGCGCCGCAUUAGCUAGUUGGUAGGGAAACGGCUUACCACGGCAACGAUGCGUAGCCGACCGGUGAGGGGGAUCGCCGACCCUGGAGCGUGGCCGCGGUCCUUGCUCCUACGGGAGGCAGCAGUCUGCUAUCUUCGGCAGUGGUCGAAAGCCUUACGCAGCAGCGCCGCGUGAGUUAUGAAGGUCUUCGGAUCGUAAUACUCUGUUUCUAGUGAAGAACAAAUGUGUAAUUUACUAUGCACGUCUUGACGGUACCUAAUCAGAAAGCCACGGCUAACUACGUG